GUGUCAGCAGCCGCGGUAAGACAGAGGGUGCAAACGUUGUUCGGAAUUACUGGGCGUAAAGCGCGUGUAGGCGGCAGGGCAUGUCGGAUGUGAAAUCCCGUGGCUCAACCACGGAAGUGCACCCGAAACUGCCCAGCUUGAGUCUCGGAGAGGAAGGCGGAAUGCUUGGUGUAGAGGUGAAAUUCGUAGAUAUCAAGCGGAACACCGGUGGCGAAGGCGGCCUUCUGGACGAUGACUGACGCUGAGACGCGAAAGCGUGGGGAGCAAACAGGAUUAGAUACCCUGGUAGUCCACGCCGUAAACGAUGAGUGCUAGGUGUCACGGGCUUUGACCCCUGUGGUGCCGUAGCUAACGCAGUAAGCACUCCGCCUGGGGAGUACGGCCGCAAGGCUAAA
rnacentral:rRNA from 1 species